GUCUGUGCGGAGACCUCCCUGCAACACCCUCGCUGGCGAUUUCGAAUUGAACAAAAUCACCUAUUGAAAAUUGGUUUCUCCUUUCGAUGAUGUGUUCCACGUUUAACCUAUUCGAAUUCUGUUUUUCCUUCUUCCACUGGUGGAUUGAUAUCUGAGUGAAUUUCUUUUUGACGACCACUAAUCCAGAGAAAAACUAACAGUGGUUGCUUCAUUUUCUUCCUUCAGAAGCUAUUAAAUUAAGAGAUUAUCACUCAACAGAAGGCGAGAUGUCUCCGACCCUCUGUGCAGCGUGGAGACCAUGACGCACCUCCGCGCCUCCGCGCGGCGCGGAGGCCACCUCCUUGCUAUACCCUCACUGGCGAUUUUGAAUUGAACAAAAUCACCUAUUGAAAAUUGGUUUCUCCUUUCGAUUGUGUGUUCCACAUUUAACCUAUUCGAAUUCUGUUUCUCUUUCCUCCACUAGUAGAUCGGCGAUUUAAUAUCUAAGUGAAUUUCUUUUUGACGACCAAUAAUCCAGAGAAAAGCUAACAGUGGCUGCUUCAUUUUCUUCCUUCAAAAGCUAUUUAAUUAAGAGAUUAUCACACAACAGAAGGCGAGAUGCAUAGACUGAAAACUUACUCAGAUUUUAUUUGAGGCAUCCUUAAAUUAAAGGUAAUUUUUUUCCUUUGAAUUUAUGUUUCUUCAAAUUGAGCAUAAAUCUUGGUUUCAUGAUGGCUUCAAUGAGGUUUUUUAUGAUGAUUUUGCAUAUUUACAGAAUCUUAUCAUUCUAUCAAAAUUAUUGGCUAAAUUUAAAAGCAACAUAAAUGGUACAUAUUCUAAGGUUUGAAUGUUUUUGAAUCCGUAAUUUAUUGAUUAAAUCACUUUUAAAAUUCCAAUUGUGUUUGGUCGGCAAAAAAUCAUUCAAUUAUGUAACGCGAUAUUCGUAAAAUUAUUUUUAUUCACAAUGAUUUGUAACAGUUUUUAAUUAAAUUUUUGCAGAGUCGAAAGGGUGUGGAAGGUUUUCUCUUUGCCGUGAAAAUGUAGCUUUUUCUUAGGAAUUUUUGUGAAGCUUGAUUUCCUUCUUUGAUUGAGUUUUUAGGAUAUUCUAUGGAUUUAAUAAAUUUUCGUUUUCAGUAUGAUGUUGCAGCAAAUCAAUCAUUUUGUUGAACAAAUUCUAAUAACCGCUGCCCAUACCUUCUACCAAUCCAACGUUGACACAAGCCAAUAGGCAAUCUAUACACCGAGCCUAGGAAUUUACAUGCA
rnacentral:lncRNA from 1 species